rnacentral:lncRNA from 1 species
AGCUGAAAUGCAGAACUAGUAUUAUUUUAUAUUUGUAAAGCACUUUUGCAAACCAUAAAGUAGUAUAUAAAUGCUAUGUAUCAUUAUUACCAAUAAUACAGUGUAAACGCACCCGCUGCAGCCCUUUCAUACGGAAUUGUAUUUAGAAUCCACAGGUAACAAUAAGCCUUUAAAAUGUUAAGAGAAAAGUAAAGGCUAGCAAAACUGGAAAGUGGCUGGAUUCUGAGGAUGGAUAUUCAAAUCCCACUUUAUCAUUACUACUCCAGGAACUUAAUCUCCCCGGCCUCAGUUUCCUCAUUUAUAAAUUUCGGGGAUUGGACUAUAAGGCCCCCGAAGACCCGUAUAGUUUGAGAUCUUUGAUCCCAAGACCCAUUCUGCCUUCAAUAAAACAUUCAAAUUUAGGAAGGCCCAAUGGAAGAUUAAUGCUAGUUCAAGAUAUGAGGUAACAAAGUAAAGAAACAACCAACAAUUAAGAAAAAAAAGAAAAAUUCACAUCCUGAUGGGGGAAACAACAUGCAAAUAGCUAUAUACAGAUACUGCUUCCACCCUGGGGAUUUUUGUAAUGCAGAAGAUGAGGAAACAAAUUCUGAGAAGGUAUAUGACUUUCCCAAGAUCAUACAAGUGUUUAAAGUGCUAAAGAAAAGGAACAAAAUUUCCUACUUGAAGGAACAGUGAACUUUUAAAGAAAGGGAUGGUACUAUAUCUUGAAGAAGGAACAGGAGAUAAGGAUGACCUCCAGGGCCAACUUCCUGCUUUCUGGUAGAAAUUAGUGUCCUUUGGAGAAAGGUGAGAGGAGAAGAAGCUAGAGCUGUCUAUUCAGCUUCCCUCUGAGCCACACAAAACAGGUGGGGAUCUUCCCUCUCCCCAAAGGAGAACAGAGAUUAAAGAGUCCCUGAAGAGGACUGAAGAAGGCUUGAGGUCUGCCCUGGUAGGGCAAGGCAUUAAUUUCUACUAUUGAAGAGAGAGUCCUAUACCAGUGGACUUUGGAACAAGAGUUAACUUACUAUUUCCAUACUACUUUAAAGUCUGAAGAGCACUUUUUUUUCAUGAAAACUACAUCAAGUGAAUACUAUGUAAAAUAUAUUUAAGCAGGAGGUUAAUUCAACUGAUAGAUUGUUGGACUUAAGAAUCAAGAAUACUUGAUGUUAAAUCCUACCCCAGCUACUUACUAGCUAUGUAACCCUGACCAAGUUAAUCAGUUUCUCUCAGCCUACACUUCUUUAUCUAUAAAAUGGAGAUAAUUAUUGUAUAUGUUUCAAAAAAAAUUGUAUAUGUUUAUAAAGAUCAGACAACAUAACUAACAUAUGCCAUGUUUUGUGAACCUUAAAGCUCUAUGUAAAUCCUAGCUGUUAUUAUUAAGUUUAUUAAAAAUUCUUAGAGAAUGACUUCUGGGUAAGAAAAUAAAUUUGUUGAUUAGGCUACUAUUAAGCA